rnacentral:rRNA from 1 species
ACUCCUACGGGAGGCAGCAGUGGGGAAUAUUGCACAAUGGGGGAAACCCUGAUGCAGCCAUGCCGCGUGUGUGAAGAAGGCCUUGGGUUGUAAAGCACUUUCAGUAGGGAGGAAGGUAGUGUAGUUAACACCUGCAUUAUUUGUACGUUACCUACAGAAGAAGCACCGGCUAACUCCGUGCCAGCAGCCGCGGUAAGUACGGAGGGUGCGAGCGUUAAUCGGAAUUACUGGGCGUAAAGCGCAUGCAGGCGGCCUGUUAAGUCAGAUGUGAAAGCCCGGGGCUUAACCUCGGAAUUGCAUUUGAAACUGGCAGGCUAGAGUCUUGUAGAGGGGGUUAGAAUUUCAGGUGUAGCGGUGAAAUGCGUAGAGAUCUGAAGG